rnacentral:rRNA from 1 species
GUGGGGAAUCUUGCGCAAUGGGCGAAAGCCUGACGCAGCAACGCCGCGUGGGGGACGAAGGCUCUCGGGUUGUAAACCCCUUUCAGGAGGGACGAAAUUGACGGUACCUCCAGAAGAAGCCCCGGCCAACUACGUGCCAGCAGCCGCGGUAACACGUAGGGGGCGAGCGUUGUCCGGAUUUAUUGGGCGUAAAGAGCUCGUAGGUGGCUCGGUAAGUCGGGUGUGAAAUUUCGAGGCUCAACCUCGAGACGCCACCUGAUACUGCUGUGGCUAGAGUCCGGUAGGGGAGCGUGGAAUUCCUGGUGUAGCGGUGAAAUGCGCAGAUAUCAGGAGGAACACCAGCGGCGAAGGCGGCGCUCUGGGCCGGUACUGACACUGAGGAGCGAAAGCGUGGGGAUCAAACAGGAUUAGAAACCCUAGUAGUCC